rnacentral:rRNA from 1 species
AUGGAGCUCAUUGUGCUCCUUGUCCUUUUUCUCUUGGGCUUGAUCGUACUGAUCAGGCGGCGUAGCUACACCUACACUACUAGUACCAGACGUGCCCGUGCUCCAGCUGCUGUGGUGAUCGAGAAGAUCGCCGAUCAUGCCGUCGCCCACCGUGCGCUCGUCGAGAACGCCGACGACUUCUCGGACCGCCCGGUGGCGCCCUUUCUGGUCUUCCUGGAGAAGAGACACGGCCAGUACGGCGACGGCCUAGCCUCCGCGCCGUACGGCCCUCUCUGGCGUGCUUUCCGGUGCAACAUCACCUCCGAGACCCUCCACCCGUCGCGCCUCGGGCACGUCACGCCGCUGCAGCGGGAGGCCAUCCAUGGCCUCGUCGCCAAUUUGGGGAAGGAACUGCCGGUGGUCGCCGUAGUCCGCGAGCACCUCUACCCUUCCAUCUUCUCGGUACUCGCGCGCCUGUGCUUCGGCGACGGCGUGGACGAGGGGCAUGUGCGCGCCAUGGGCUGCUUGAUACGGGAGUUCCAGCAGGUCGCCGUGGGAGAGGCUCGGGCCUCCCCUGGCACCAUGUUGGCCAAGCUCGCGGAGUGGAGACGAUUGCGCCGGCUCUUGGCCAUACACGGCCGGUUGGGCGAGCUGUACCUCCCUCUUGUCGAUGCACGGCGGGAGUCUCGACCGACAUGCGACGGUGGCGGCCGUCGUCCAUACGUCGACUCGCUCAUCGACCUACGCGUCCCCGACGGAGGCAAGGGUGACGGUGCCGGCCGGCGCGCAGUCAGGGACGACGAGUUCGUGAACCUGCUGUCAGAGUUUCUGGGCGCUGGCACGGGGACGGUGAUGGCAAGCCUGGAAUGGACCCUCGCCCACCUGGUAAACGACCAGGAGAUCCAGAAAAAGCUUCGGGACGAGGUCGACGGCGCCGGCGGGGCCGUGAUCUCCAGCUCCAGCAGCAGGAGCCUCAUGCGUGGCAUGCCGUAUCUGAACGCGGUCGUGCUCGAGACCCUCCGCUUGCAUCCACAGGUGCCCUUCGUCCAGCGCCACGUCCAUGCCGACGCGGCCGAGGUGCUCGGAGUCGGAGGAAAAACCAGCGGUUUCAUUGCACAGUUCACGGUUGGAGACAUGGGAAGGGACGGCAAGACGUGGACGGACCCCGACGAGUUCCGGCCAGAGCGGUUCCUUCCCGGCGGUGAGGCAGAGGACGUCGGCCCUUUGCCGGGGACCAAGGAGAUAAGGAUGAUGCCUUUCGGCGCCGGGCAUAGGUUCUGCCCGGGCGUGGGUCUGGCCAUGAUGAACAUCAAGUGCUUCCUGGCUGCGCUUGUGCAUGAGUUCGAAUGGGCGCUGCCGACGGAGGGCUGUGCCGGCGUCGACCUGACGGAGCUCAACACCUUCAUCAAGGCGAUGAAGAAGCCACUUUCCGCACGUCUCACGCGACGCACUUAA